GGACGAACGGCUGGCGGCGUGCCUAACACAUGCAAGUCGAACGGGGUUGUUAACUUAAUCUCUUCGGAGAAGCGGUUUCAGCUUAGUGGCGAACGGGUGAGUAACACGUGAGCAAUCUGCCUCUCAGAGGGGGAUACCGUCUGGAAACGGACGUUAAUACCGCAUAACGUAUGUUGAUCGCAUGGUCGAUAUACCAAAGGAGCAAUCCGCUGAGAGAUGAGCUCGCGUCUGAUUAGCCAGUUGGCGGGGUAACGGCCCACCAAAGCUACGAUCAGUAGCCGGACUGAGAGGUUGAACGGCCACAUUGGGACUGAGACACGGCCCAGACUCCUACGGGAGGCAGCAGUGGGGAGUAUUGCGCAAUGGGGGAAACCCUGACGCCAGCAACGCCGCGUGUGGGAAGAAGGUCUUCGGAUUGUAAACCAUUGUUCUGUGGGACGAUGCAAGACGGUACCACAGGAGAAAGCUCCGGCUAACUACGUGCCAGCAGCCGC
rnacentral:rRNA from 1 species